UUAUCUCUGUAGAGUCUGCAUAUCAAUAAGCGGAGGAAAAGAAACUAACUAGGAUUCCCUCAGUAACGGCGAGUGAAGCGGGAAGAGCUCAAAUUUGAAAUCUUCAAGGUUCUACCUUGACGAAUUGUAGUUUAAAGAAGUGUCUUCUGUUGGAGUUUUGGUAAAAGUUCUUUGGAAUAGGACAUCAUAGAGGGUGAGAAUCCCGUAUUUGACCAUUAUUUCCAGCUUUGUGAUACACUUUCAAAGAGUCGGAUUGUUUGGGAAUGCAGUCCAAAAUGGGUGGUAAAUUUCAUCUAAAGCUAAAUAUUGGCGAGAGACCGAUAGCGAACAAGUACCGUGAGGGAAAGAUGAAAAGAACUUUGAAAAGAGAGUUAAACAGUACGUGAAAUUGUCAAAAGGGAAGCGUUUGACACCAGUGUUGUUUUCUCGAAAAUCAAUUAAAAAAGGCAGGAUUUUGUGUUGUAUUGACCUUAUAAGCUUUCUGCACUCUUUUUCAUGUCUUUUUUAAUGCACUUUUCGUUUAACAAGUCAACAUCAAUUUCUUUUGUUGUAAAAAGGGUCAUUGGAAGGUGGCUUUCUUUUCGGAGAAAGUGUUUAUAGCCUUUGACUUCUGCAAUCGGAGAGACUGAGGUCUGCAGCGUAGAUCCUUCUGGAUUAGAUUCAUUUGUGCUAAGUUACAACCGUUUAUAGACAACUUGUUGACUAUAUUCGAUCCUGUAGCUUACUCGCUUAUGUAAUUUUACCUACGCUUAGGAUGUUGAAGAUGUAGCACAUCAU
rnacentral:rRNA from 1 species